ensembl:lncRNA immediate early response 3
AUGUCGAUGGUGGCGGCGGCUGCGGCCACGGCCGCGUGUCCGGGGCGGUUUUGGGGACAUCCCGAGAGUGUCCCCAAAGGGGUGGCACCGUCCCCACCUCGUCACUUCACCUUCGAACCCCUCCCGGCUCGCCCCGGCCCUUCCAGGCCUCGGCGACGGCAUCGCCGCGUUCUUUAUCCGCCCGCUGUGCGUCGCCCCCUCCCCUCCGAAGAACCCAGCGCUGCCAAACGACUCCUGGUGCUGCUCUUGGCCGUGGUGGGCACCCAAAUCUACAACGCGCCGGGGGACGUCGGCGUCACCGAUGUCAUCACCGAUGUCACUGAGACCCCUUUGGGGACACCCAGGACCCUCCCAAUUCCAGAGGAGCCCCAAAUUCCCGCCGGGAACGCCGGGAUAGCCAACGGGACGACGCCGGUGGCGCCCGUCGAAGAGCUCCGGGUCGGAAGGAGACACCGACGUUGGGAUUCGGAAGCUGAGCCAUCCCAGUUUGGCACUGGGAGCACUGGGAAAGGGGGUGGAGCCAUGGAUUUUCCCAUCCCUUCAUUAAUUAGCUGGCUAAUUACCCUCUUAAUUAAUGACCGGCUCAUUAAUUAGCCCCCAGUUGAGGCGGGAACGAACCCGACGUUGGGAUUUGGAAGUUGGUCGAUCCCAGUUUGGCACUGGGAGCACUGGGAAGGGGCGUGGUCAGGGUGGCCUCGUUAACGAGGCUUAAUUAACGACGUCACCUCUACCUCAGCUUCAGCGCCGGUGGGUGCUGAGUUUAUGAAUUAAUUAUUUAAUAAUUAUUUAAUAAUUAUUUGUUGCUAUUUAUUUAUUAAUAUGUGUUCGCUAUUUAUUUGUUAUUUAUUAUUUAUUUGUGAAUAUUUAUUAAAUAUUUAUUAAUUACCUCCUAAAGAUUGUUUUUCAUUAAAUUUGACGGGGUAUUUAAUGUUUUUAAUUAAUGAAAUUCAUCAGUUGAAUUAAUUAAGGGGCGUCGUGUCUUUAUUGAGAGUUUCCUGUGGUCAGAACGAGGGGAGGAAAAUGACGGAAAUUCCCAAUUUUUUGGGAAUUCAAUCCCUAAAAUUUUUUGGGGGGAGGAAAAAAAAAAAAAACGGAAAAUCCCAAUUUUUUGGCAUUUUCAGCCCAAGCCGGAUUUUUAUUGACCCGACAAAGAAAAUACAAAGAAAUACAAAGUCACAAAAGUAACAAAAAACCAAAAAAAUUCCAUUAUUUCCUUAAAAAAAACAAACAAACAAAAAGUUAAAAAAAGCUCGAGUUCGCUCCCGUUUUUUGGGAAAAACCUGGAAAAUCCAAAGGAAAAUCCAGAUUUUCCUCCUAAACUCACAUUUGGUGGCAUUCAAGACCCAAACUUGGGAUUUUUUUCCCAAAUUUUUAUAUUUUCCUCAAAAUUCUAAUAUUCCCACAAAUUUUCCUGAUUUUUUUUUCCCCAAACUUUGAGGUUUUUUUCCACCAAUUCCGAGGCUUUUCCUGGAAUUAUGAGGGUUUUUUUCCCAACUUUCCAGGGUUUUUUCCUGGAAUUUUGAAUUUUUUUCACCCAAUUUUGGGUGGGUUUCCCAGAUUUCGGUGUUUUUCCCAAAUUUCCGCUGGGUUUUCCCAAGUUUUUUUGGGGUUUUUUUCCCCAAAUUUAAGAAUUUUUGGAGGGUUGGGAAGAGCCCCCAGUUUUGGGUUGGGCAAUCCCAGUUGGGCACUGGGAGCACUGGGAAUGCCGGGAAGUGACCGGAACCACGGAAUGCUGGGAAUUCCUCAAUGGAUUAAUGAAUGGAUUCACCCCUAAUUAAUUAAUUAGAGAUCGUUAAUUAGCCAAGGGAACGAGUUGGGACCAAUCCCAACGUUGAGUCUUGGGAUCGACCAAUCCCAGUUGGGCACUGGGAGCACUGGGAAUGCUGGGAACCACGGAAUGCUGGGAAUUCCCCACUUAAUUAAUGAAUUAAUGAAUGAAUUCAUCGCUAAUUAAUUUGAGAUCAUUAAUUAGCCACAGGAACGAGUUGGGACCAAUCCCAACAUUGAGUCUUGGGAUUGACCAAUCCCAGUUGGGCACUGGGAGCACUGGGAAUGCCGGGAAGUGACCGGAACCAUGGAAUGCUGGGAAUUCCCCACUUAAUUAAUGAAUUAAUGAAUAAAUUCACCGCUAAUUAAUUUGAGAUCA